UAGUCCACGCCGUAAACGAUGAUUACUCGCUGUAGGCGAUACACAGUCUGUGGCUAAGCGAAAGUUUUAAGUAAUCCACCUGGGGAGUACGAUCGCAAGAUUGAAACUCAAAGGAAUUGACGGGGGCCCGCACAAGCGGAGGAACAUGUGGUUUAAUUCGAUGAUACGCGAGGAACCUUACCUGGACUUAAAUGUACGUUGCAUAGAUUGGAGACAGUCUUUUCUUCGGACUACGUACAAGGUGCUGCAUGGUUGUCGUCAGCUCGUGCCGUGAGGUGUCGGGUUAAGUCCCAUAACGAGCGCAACCCCUAUCCUUAGUUGCUACCAUUAAGUUGGGCACUCUGGGGAGACUGCCGGUGUUAAACCGGAGGAAGGCGGGGAUGACGUCAAGUCCUCAUGGCCCUUACGACCAGGGCUACACACGUACUACAAUGGCAAAGACAAAGGGUCGCAAUACCGCGAGGUGGAGCUAAUCCCAAAAACAUUAGUCUCAGUCCGGAUUGGGGUCUGCAACUCGACUCCAUG
rnacentral:rRNA from 1 species